GAUGAACGCUGGCGGCGUGCCUAAUACAUGCAAGUCGAGCGAACAGACGAGGAGCUUGCUCCUCUGACGUUAGCGGCGGACGGGUGAGUAACACGUGGAUAACCUACCUAUAAGACUGGGAUAACUUCGGGAAACCGGAGCUAAUACCGGAUAAUAUAUUGAACCGCAUGGUUCAAUAGUGAAAGACGGUUUUGCUGUCACUUAUAGAUGGAUCCGCGCCGCAUUAGCUAGUUGGUAAGGUAACGGCUUACCAAGGCAACGAUGCGUAGCCGACCUGAGAGGGUGAUCGGCCACACUGGAACUGAGCCACGGUCCAGACUCCUACGGGAGGCAGCAGUAGGGAAUCUUCCGCAAUGGGCGCAAGCCUGACGGAGCAACUCCGCGUGAGUGAUGAAGGUCUUCGGAUCGUAAAACUCUGUUAUUAGGGAAGAACAAAUGUGUAAGUAACUAUGCACGUCUUGACGGUACCUAAUCAGAAAGCCACGGCUAACUACGUG
rnacentral:rRNA from 1 species